UUGGUGUGACCCCUGAGAGUGCUGAAGAAGAAGAGGCUGUCAGCUUUCUGGGGCGGCUGAGGCACAGACCACGGGCUGCCGGUCAGCGCUCUCAGCAUCGAGGCACUUGAUCAGAAAUCUGGAUGUGUGCAGGCUGCAUGAAUCUUUUACAAUUACAAUGACUAAUUAACCCGAGCCUGCUAGCAUCACACCUGGUGUCAGUGAGUUACGCAACAGUGGCAGGCGAGGGCCAGACUCUCCCGCCCCACUAGUGCGGGUGUGUUUGCUAAUUGGAUAAAUUAAAGGAAAAUACAAAUCUCAGGAGGCAGGUGGUGGCUGGAGGUCGGACAGGCUGCAUGCUGGAUGGACCUCAAGAUUUGACAGGAUUUCCUAAAACCAGUUUCAGGAUCUGGAUUCCAAAGGCUGAGAAGCAGGACCAUCCCAGGCACAGAGGAAGCCUUUCUGGCCAGAUGAGAGCAGGGCUGAGCAGUAGCAGCAUCAGGUUAUGGUACAGGGAGGACUCACCACACUGUCAUUUGUGUCAGGAACCGCCAAGGACUUCACCAGCAAAUCCACCCCCGUGGUCUGCCAAUGAAAACCAAGAAGAUUAGCAGGGGAAGGCUUCAGAGGCUCAUGGUGCCAGGUUGGCAUGGCAGGGACGGGAGGAUGAGAAUGAGCUGCGCCUUCUAAAGCCUUGAUCUCUGAAGGGGGAGAGAAAGUCUAGGAAUGAAUGAAUAAAUGAGUGAAUGGGGAUGCUCUUCCUCUCAAAGGCUCCGAGCUUCUUGUAUUCCUGCAGAGAGGGAUUUAGAAAGACCUUCACCAAGUUUACAUGCUUGGAACCAGCAGCCAUAGAGACCUUCUCACCGCCAAGGAAACCAGCACCAUUGUGAUCUCUGGGCCUGACAGCAACCUCUUCAGUGGGUGGUGGGAGGGGGGUAAUGCAGGUGCCCACUGAUCAUGGGCCCUCAGCCUCUUCUUAGUUGUGGAGGGAGUCUGUCCCCAGGGACCCACAUAACUCCCUCUUCUAUGUCUCUCCCCAUGCGUUUGGGUUUGGAAGGCUCACUACUAGCAUGAAGCAGUCAAUCAAUCAUGAGAGCCUGGCACUGGCUGUGUGCUGCCCUCAGAUGGAUACUCACCAAUGUGUAGUUCUUCUGGAAAUGAGCCCCAUCACUGCGGAACAUCUGAGCCAGGGUGCUCUUCCCGACAGUGGCAUCUCCUAAGAAGCCAAAGGAGCAGAAGAAAAGCUCAAAGUCCUGGUCAGACUUUGACCUUUCUUGUCCUGAAAUAAACUAUCUGCCUUCAGCUGGGGAACUAACAUCCUCAAUGGUUCCAGGAGAAGAUGCUGCAAACAUCUGUGUCCAUCUGCUAAAGGGGAAAAGGUUAUGGUUAUGGUUAACUAAGACAUUCGGUGUGGACAGGAAUAGAUAUUGAAACUCA